rnacentral:rRNA from 1 species
CGAAACUGACACAGGUGGUCAGGUAGAGCAUACCAAGGCGCUUGAGAGAACUCUGCUGAAGGAACUCGGCAAAUUGCACGCGUAACUUCGGAAGAAGCGUGACCCCAAGGUACGCAAGUAUUUUGGGGUGGCACAGACCAGGGGGUAGCGACUGUUUAUCAAAAACACAGGGCUCUGCGAAGUCGCAAGACGACGUAUAGGGUCUGACGCCUGCCCGGUGCUGGAAGGUUAAGAGGAGAGGUGCAAGCUUUGAAUCGAAGCCCCAGUAAACGGCGGCCGUAACGAUAACGGUCCUAAGGUAGCGAAAUUCCUUGUCGGGUAAGUUCCGACCUGCACGAAUGGCGUAACGAUGGCCACACUGUCUCCUCCUGGGACUCAGCGAAGUUGAAAUGUUUGUGAAGAUGCAAUCUCCCGCGGCAAGACGGAAAGACCCCGUGCACCUUAACUAUAAUUUUAUAUUGAAAGGGGUAAUUUAAUAUGAAGAAUAAUUAGGAGUUUAUGAUCUAUGUA